UACCCAGUUCGGAUUGUAGUCUGNAACCCGACUACAUGAAGCUGGAAUCGCUAGUAAUCGCAGAUCAGAAUGCUGCGGUGAAUACGUUCCCGGGUCUUGUACACACCGCCCGUCACACCAUGGGAGUCGGAAAUGCCCGAAGCCAGUGACCCAACCUUAAGGAGGGAGCUGUCGAAGGUGGAGCCGGUAACUGGGGUGAAGUCGUAACAAGGUACC
rnacentral:rRNA from 1 species